rnacentral:rRNA from 1 species
CCUACGGGUGGCAGCAGUGAGGAAUAUUGGUCAAUGGACGAGAGUCUGAACCAGCCAAGUAGCGUGAAGGAUGACUGCCCUAUGGGUUGUAAACUUCUUUUAUAUGGGAAUAAAAUGUUCCACGUGUGGGAUUUUGUAUGUACCAUAUGAAUAAGGAUCGGCUAACUCCGUGCCAGCAGCCGCGGUAAUACGGAGGAUCCGAGCGUUAUCCGGAGUUAUUGGGUUUAAAGGGAGCGUAGGUGGAUUGUUAAGUCAGUUGUGAAAGUUUGCGGCUCAACCGUAAAAUUGCAGUUGAAACUGGCAGUCUUGAGUACAGUAGAGGUGGGCGGAAUUCGUGGUGUAGCGGUGAAAUGCUUAGAUAUCACGAAGAACUCCGAUUGCGAAGGCAGUUCACUGGACUGCAACUGACACUGAGGCUCGAAAGUGUGGGUAUCAAACAGGAUUAGAUACCCUUGUAGUC